GAUGAACGCUGGCGGCGUGCCUAAUACAUGCAAGUCGAGCGAACAGACGAGGAGCUUGCUCCUCUGACGUUAGCGGCGGACGGGUGAGUAACACGUGGAUAACCUACCUAUAAGACUGGGAUAACUUCGGGAAACCGGAGCUAAUACCGGAUAAUAUAUUGAACCGCAUGGUUCAAUAGUGAAAGACGGUUUUGCUGUCACUUAUAGAUGGAUCCGCGCCGCAUUAGCUAGUUGGUAAGGUAACGGCUUACCAAGGCAACGAUGCGUAGCCGACCUGAGAGGGUGAUCGGCCACCCUGGAACGGAGAACCGGUCAAGACUCCAAGGGGAGGCAGAAGGAGGGAAUCUUCCGCAAUGGGCGAAAGCUUGAGGGAGCAACCCCGGGGGAGGGAUGAAGGUCUUCGGAUCGUAAAACUCUUUUAUUAGGAAAAAACAAAUGUGUAAGUAACUAUGCAGUUUUUGACGGAACCAAAUAAAAAAGCCACGGCUAACUACGG
rnacentral:rRNA from 1 species